CCGACGGUGAGAGAUGAAAGCUGGGGGAGCAAACCGGAUUAGAUACCCGGGUAGUCCCAGCUGUAAACGAUGCGCGUUAGGUGUAUCAGUGACCACGAGUCACUGAGGUGCCGAAGAGAAAUCGUGAAACGUGCCGCCUGGGAAGUACGGUCGCAAGGCUGAAACUUAAAGGAAUUGGCGGGGGAGCACCACAACAGGUGGAGCCUGCGGUUUAAUCGGACUCAACGCCGGAAAUCUCACCAGAUAAGACAGCUGAAUGAUAGUCGGGCUGAAGACUCUACUUGACUAGCUGAGAGGAGGUGCAUGGCCGUCGUCAGUUCGUACUGUGAAGCAUCCUGUUAAGUCAGGCAACGAGCGAGACCCACGCCAACAGUUGCU
rnacentral:rRNA from 1 species